GGAAGCGUGGCCGAGUGGUUGAAGGCACUGGUCUUGAAAACCAGCAACGGGGUAACUCGUUCGUGGGUUCGAAUCCCACCGCUUCCGCCA
rnacentral:tRNA from 1 species